GUACUACUCCCUCCGUUUGGAAAAGCUUGUCCCUUAAAUGGAUGUAUCUAACACUAACUUGAUGCUAGAUACAUCCAUUUGAGAGAUAAGUUUUUCCGAAUGGAGGGAGUAUAUC
rfam:Triticum aestivum genome assembly, contig: Triticum_aestivum_CS42_TGACv1_scaffold_569713_7AS